rnacentral:misc_RNA from 1 species
AGGAUGUAGAAACUAACUCAACAAGAGAUAAUGAGAAUGGGAGGGAUGAUCAUUCUGAAGUAUUUGAGGCUCUUAGGAAUUUAACCGCUGGGGAUCCAAUGUAUUUGGGUAAAGUGAAACUUGAGCAACACCAGACUCAGCCUCCACCACGAUACUCUGAGGGGUCUUUGGUCAAAAAGCUAGAGGAGCUCGGCAUUGGAAGACCUUCUACUUAUGCAGCCACAAUAAAAGUGUUAAAGGACAGGAAUUAUGUCAUUGCCAAAGGCAGAACACUGCAUCCUGAAUUUCGUGGGCGUAUGGUAUCAGCAUUUCU